UACGAAGGGUGCAAGCGUUAAUCGGAAUUACUGGGCGUAAAGCGUGCGUAGGCGGCUUGUUAAGUCUGCUGUGAAAUCCCCGGGCUCAACCUGGGAAUGGCAGUGGAUACUGGCAAGCUAGAGUGUGUCAGAGGAUGGUGGAAUUCCCGGUGUAGCGGUGAAAUGCGUAGAGAUCGGGAGGAACAUCAGUGGCGAAGGCGGCCAUCUGGGACAACACUGACGCUGAGGCACGAAAGCGUGGGGAGCAAACGGG
rnacentral:rRNA from 1 species